UACAGAGGGUGCAAGCGUUAAUCGGAAUUACUGGGCGUAAAGCGCGUGUAGGCGGAUGAGCAAGUCUGCUGUGAAAGCUCCUGGCUUAACCGGGAGUGGUCGGUGGAAACUGCUCGUCUGGAGGACGGUAGAGGUAGGUAGAAUUCCCGGUGUAGUGGUGAAAUGCGUAGAGAUCGGGAGGAAUACCUGUGGCGAAGGCGGCCUACUGGGCCGGACCUGACGCUGAGACGCGAAGGCGUGGGGAGCGAACGGG
rnacentral:rRNA from 1 species